ACGGGGGGUGCAAGCGUUGUUCGGAAUCAUUGGGCGUAAAGCGCGUGUAGGCGGCUUGACAAGUCAGAUGUGAAAUCCCUGGGCUUAACUCAGGAAGUGCAUUUGAAACUGUCAGGCUAGAGUAAGGGAGAGGAAAGUGGAAUUCCUGGUGUAGAGGUGUAAUUCGUAGAUAUCAGGAGGAACACCGGUGGCGAAGGCGACUAUCUGGCCCUAUACUGACGCGGAGACGCGGGAGCGUGGGUAGGAAGGAG
rnacentral:rRNA from 1 species